UACGUAGGUGGCAAGCGUUGUCCGGAAUUAUUGGGCGUAAAGCGCGCGCAGGCGGUCCUUUUAAGUCUGAUGUGAAAGCCCACGGCUCAACCGUGGAGGGUCAUUGGAAACUGGGGGGACUUGAGUACAGAAGAGAAGAGUGGAAUUCCACGUGUAGCGGUGAAAUGCGUAGAGGUGUGGAGGAACACCAGUGGCGAAGGCGACUCUUUGGUCUGUAACUGACGCUGAGGCGCGAAAGCGUGGGGAGCAAACAGG
rnacentral:rRNA from 1 species